GACGAACGCUGGCGGCGUGCUUAACACAUGCAAGUCGAACGGUAAGGCCCUUCGGGGUACACGAGUGGCGAACGGGUGAGUAACACGUGGGUGAUCUGCCCUGCACUUCGGGAUAAGCCUGGGAGACUGGGUCUAAUACCGGAUAGGACUCAGGGAUGCAUGUCCUGGGGUGGAAAGCUCUUGCGGUGUGGGAUGGGCCUGCGGCCUAUCAGCUUGUUGGUGGGGUGAUGGCCUACCAAGGCGACGACGGGUAGCCGGCCUGAGAGGGUGACCGGCCACACUGGGACUGAGAUACGGCCCAGACUCCUACGGGAGGCAGCAGUGGGGAAUAUUGCACAAUGGGCGCAAGCCUGAUGCAGCGACGCCGCGUGAGGGAUGACGGCCUUCGGGUUGUAAACCUCUUUCAGCACCGACGAAGCGCAAGUGACGGUAGGUGCAGAAGAAGGACCGGCCAACUACGUGCCAGCCGCCGCGGUAA
rnacentral:rRNA from 1 species